rnacentral:misc_RNA from 1 species
GCGAGCGAGCAAGCGAGAGAUCGAUCUCGAAGAUGAAGUUCGUGAUGGAGUUCGCCGAAAACCUAAUCCUCCGCCUCAUGGAGGAUCCCGUGGCCCGGGACCAGCGGAACCGCGACCACAUCUACGCGGUCAAGGAGCAGUGCAAGAAGACCAAGGCCAAUUGGAACCUCCCCCUCCGCCCCUACGGUUUCUGGACCUUCGAUCGCUUCAAUGCCCAGAUCUACGCCGACGCCCAGAUCAGCCAGGCCCCCGGCCGCCGCGAUCCCUAUGAUGACCUCCUUGACCAGCCGCCACCACCCCAUGCCCGGCCACCGUCUCAAGUCUGAAUGGAUCUGAUUGUGGGUGGUAUGCUUUUGCCUGGAGAAGUGGUCCAAGUUACUGUAGGAGAAGGUAAUACAAG